rnacentral:rRNA from 1 species
GAUGAACGCUGGCGGCGUGCCUAAUACAUGCAAGUCGAGCGAACAGAUGAGGAGCUUGCUCCUCUGACGUUAGCGGCGGACGGGUGAGUAACACGUGGAUAACCUACCUAUAAGACUGGGAUAACUUCGGGAAACCGGAGCUAAUACCGGAUAAUAUAUUGAACCGCAUGGUUCAAUAGUGAGAGACGGUUUUGCUGUCACUUAUAGAUGGAUCCGCGCCGCAUUAGCUAGUUGGUAAGGUAACGGCUUACCAAGGCAACGAUGCGUAGCCGACCUGAGAGGGUGAUCGGCCACACUGGAACUGAGACACGGUCCAGACUCCUACGGGAGGCAGCAGUAGGGAAUCUUCCGCAAUGGGCGAAAGCCUGACGGAGCAACGCCGAGUGAGUGAUGAAGGUCUUCGGAUCGUAAAACUCUGUUAUUAGGGAAGAACAAAUGUGUAAGUAACUAUGCACGUCUUGACGGUACCUAAUCAGAAAGCCACGGCUAACUACGUG